rnacentral:rRNA from 1 species
UGGGGAAUAUUGCACAAUGGGCGCAAGCCUGAUGCAGCCAUGCCGCGUGUAUGAAGAAGGCCUUCGGGUUGUAAAGUACUUUCAGCGGGGAGGAAGGUGUUGAGGUUAAUAACCUCAGCAAUUGACGUUACCCGCAGAAGAAGCACCGGCUAACUCCGUGCCAGCAGCCGCGGUAAUACGGAGGGGGCAAGCGUUAAUCGGCAUUACUGGGCGUAAAGCGCACGCAGGCGGUCUGUCAAGUCGGAUGUGAAAUCCCCGGGCUCAACCUGGGAACUGCAUUCGAAACUGGCAGGCUAGAGUCUUGUAGAGGGGGGUAGAAUUCCAGGUGUAGCGGUGAAAUGCGUAGAGAUCUGGAGGAAUACCGGUGGCGAAGGCGGCCCCCUGGACAAAGACUGACGCUCAGGUGCGAAAGCGUGGGGAGCAAACA